rnacentral:rRNA from 1 species
UACGUAGGGGGCAAGCGUUGUCCGGAUUUAUUGGGCGUAAAGAGCGUGUAGGCGGCUUGACAAGUCUGCUGUGAAAACUCGAGGCUCAACCUCGAGAUGUCGGCGGAAACUGUCUGGCUAGAGUCCGGAAGAGGAGAGUGGAAUUCCUGGUGUAGCGGUGAAAUGCGCAGAUAUCAGGAGGAACACCUAUUGCGAAGGCAGCUCGCUGGGACGUUACUGACGCUGAGACGCGAAAGCGUGGGGAGCAAACAGG